AGGACGAACGCUGGCGGCGUGCUUAACACAUGCAAGUCGAACGGUGACGCAGGAGCUUGCUCCUGUUGAUCAGUGGCGAACGGGUGAGUAACACGUGAGUAACCUGCCCCAGACUCUGGGAUAAGCCUUGGAAACGAGGUCUAAUACCGGAUACGAGAUGAGACCGCAUGGUCAUUAUCUGGAAAGUUUUUCGGCUGGGAUGGACUCGCGGCCUAUCAGCUAGUUGGUGAGGUAAUGGCUCACCAAGGCGACGACGGGUAGCCGG
rnacentral:rRNA from 1 species